GUGCCUACUGCAGUGCUAAGCCAUUGGUACACUUAAAUAAUGUUUUUUGAACAAAAGAUAAGUAUAAGAAUGUUGGAUUAUCUGGUUGGUUAUAUUUAAACAGACAUCUGCCUUUACAGCAUUUACAGAGCAUUUCUAGUAGGUUACUUUUCAGGAUGUCACUUGGUCUUGUCACGUCUCCCCUGAUACUACUGCAACUAAACUUAUCUCCCCCUUCAAAAAGGAUGCCAUUGAGGAGAAGUGCCUCAUCUAUGAUCGGAACAUGCAAGCACUGCAGCCUGGAUUCACCACCUGUGCCUGCUUCUUCUAAGCAACAUUUAAUUUUCC
rnacentral:lncRNA from 1 species